UGAGCCACCCGGAAGUCGCACCGGAAGCUUCAGGGAUGCAGCUGACAAUUACCUAUGCGCCAGGACUUGAAGGACACAACAACGAAACCAAACGAAACCAAACGAAAUGAAACUGAUACUUCUCUAUCACACGUGAGGACCUGGGGCUCUCAAACCUGCUAAGAUUCUGCCAAUAGCAGAGCCAGGGACUGAAGACAUACUGUACAUGGUACUAAGCAUCCCCAUGAGUACCAGAUUCUAGACGUUGCUCCUCAAGAGACUAAGGGAUGCUGAGCAGAGAGAACCUACAGGCAAAGACCAGGCUGCCCCGACAACUCAACAGACUCAGAAGCGCUGUAUUUUAAAGCAUAGGGGAAAGCGAUUCCUAAAAUAUUCGGAUGUUCUCAACUUUGGUUGGAGAGGCUUCUUCGUUGUGGUUGGAAGCAGUCAACGGAGAGAUGUAUAAGUGCUCAAAGUGCUGAGAAAGACAGAGAGACUUCUUAGGACAUAGGACAAUAUUGACCACCCAACCACCAAGGCCCAGGAACAUGACGGAAGAGGGAGUGGCAUGGAGAAGAGUCCUGUGAAAUGCUGGCUUCUGGAAGUGACAUGGCUAUCACAAUCAUGACCUCUCAGUAGCUGAGGUUACCUGCAUAAGAUCUACCCCAGAUCAAGCCAACAAAAAUCCCCACAUGGUAGGUAGAUGAUCUCCAAGCCCACCCUAUACUCAGGAGCUAUUGGAAAUAGAUUUGCCAAAGACAGGAGGAAUUUUUUUCUUAAGAAUGUGGUCAGUGGUGGUUUCCCAUGCUCCAGUGGCCCAUAUACCCAUGCAUAUAUGGGUAGCACUGACUAGAGGAGGCAUAUUGGGGAGGACAUAAAGGGGGGAAAUGGGAAGUAGACAUGAUCAUCUUUCAUUGUGUUCAUGUAUGAAACUCUCAAAAAUAAAGACUAAAAACAGAAAUUAGU
rnacentral:sRNA from 1 species